GACCAUAGCUCAGUCGGUAGAGCAGGGGACUGAAAAUCCCCGUGUCGGUGGUUCGAUUCCGCCUCUGGGCACCA
rnacentral:tRNA from 1 species